rnacentral:rRNA from 1 species
GACAGAGGUCCCGAGCGUUAGGCGGAAUCACUGGGCGUAAAGCGCACGUAGGCGGACUCUUAAGUCGGUGGUGAAAUCCUGGAGCUCAACUCCAGAACUGCCUUCGAUACUGAGAGUCUCGAGUCCGGGAGAGGUGAGUGGAACUGCGAGUGUAGAGGUGAAAUUCGUAGAUAUUCGCAAGAACACCAGUGGCGAAGGCGGCUCACUGGCCCGGUACUGACGCUGAGGUGCGAAAGCGUGGGGAGCAAACAGG